GCUCAAAGAAGGAUUAGAAAGCUGCUGGACCGGACCUUCCUCACCACCUGAGAGAUCCUGUGGGCCACACAAGCUUCUCCACUAUGAACAGAAUCCACAGUUCUACUCAGUUCUACUCAGUUGUACUCGGAUCUGUUCUCACCACAUCCGGAUCCGCCUUCCUUGUCUUACCGCUCGUCCCAGGCUGUUUCCCUUGUCCACAUAUCCCUGGCUCCCUCCGCCAGUUAGGCACAUCUUAACCCCUUGUCUCCUCACCUUACAACUACCUUGGAUGUCUCUCAGAGGUGUCAGUGGUAGAUGCCCAGCAUUAUUACCCAAGCCCCUCC